AAUGCUUUUCAGCAACAUUUGAAGUCUAUGGAUUCGGUUGAAGAAGUAACUGAGCUUCAGAGCUAUUUAAAAGAAAAAUGCAUAAGGUUUAAUGAAAAGGAUAAAGAUAAGUUUGACAUUCUAAGUUGGUGGAAACAUAAUGUUAGAGAAUACCCAGUUCUGUCCCAAAUUGUUAGAGAUAUAAUGGCUACACCAGUUUCAACUGUGGCUUCUGAGAGUGCUUUUAGCACCGGUGGGAGGGUUUUAGAGGUAUAUAGAAGCUCUCUCAAACCUGAAAUGGCCGAGGCUCUUAUUUGUGCACAAAACUGGUUGAGGCCUUCAUUAGAUCAGUUCAAAGACUUGGAAUUUACUGAAGAUUAUGAGAUUUCUGAAGAUGCUUUAAAAGGAUUUGCUGAACUUUCACUCGGAAGUGGAGCAUCGUCUUCAUCUCAGACUCAGUCACAGCCUUCUGGCUGUGCCUAAACACUUUUUGAGCUACUUUUUUUGGAGUCAUGGAUGACUCGUUUUUUUGAAGCCGACAUUAACACAACCAACACUUUUUGGAAGAAUGUCAAAAACAGUCCUGCACAACCAACACUUUUUGAAAGAAUAUCAAAAACAUCCCUACACAACCAACACACCUUCGUGUGAUUGAUGUUAUUGUUGUUGAGGAAGUUAAAAAGAAAGAGACAAGUCCUAAUGCUGCUGCUGGGAAUGAGAAGAAUUGUUGUUGCUGUUGUAGUUUAAAGAUGCAAGGUGUGGUUAACUUUUCUGGCCGAAUAUCAAUACUCAUAUACCAGAACACGCAGGCUUUCCAUUUGUUCAUGAUUGCAAUGCUCCAGGUUUGGUGUUUAUCAUUCUCUUGUGAUUUAUUUAUUUGCUAAUUGUGUAUCCACCUCCUAUGGUUUAAAGAUUGAAAUUAAAGUCAAAAAAUGAAGUCGUAUAUAUUCUAUUUGUGUGUUGUGAAUUGUGCAUUUGUGUUGGUUGUGUGAACCUGUCUCAAUUUAAUAUAAUGGUUGCUUACUAAUUCACUACUAUCAUUUGAUUUAUGAUUUACUUGGUUUUAAAUAUUUACUAUGCACAUGAUAAAUUGUGUUAUAUACUUUGACAGAUGUUUUAUCCAUUGUUUUUGUGUUAAGUAAACUCUUGCAAGUCUCCAUGUGGAGUCUAAGACGAUUUUAUGAGGUUAUGUAGGCCCCUGAGCUUGAUUUUUAGUUUAUUAAACAAAUCAAUUUCUCAUAUUGGAAAGUUGGUGAAAAUGUUAUCCUUUGGAUA